GAAGCCCACCCAUUUUCCUUUUUAACCAAGAACAGUCAACCUCAAGCCCGGAGCUUUGAUUGGACCACUUCUACAAAGAAGAUGAACAAAAUUUGAGAUUCCCAACCAGCAGCAAAUAAGGCAGCUCCUGGGAAGGAAGCUGGCAAAGAUCUUUACACAGCUUGCCCUGGAAGGUUUCACGCGUGGCUCAACGGGUAAAGAAUCUUCUUGCAGUUUAGGAAAACGGAAGACUGGGCGGAGGUUCCAUCCCUGGAUUGGGAGGAUCCUCUGGACAA